CUACGGGGGGCUCCAGUGAGGAAUAUUGCACAAUGGGGGGAACCCUGAUGCAGCAACGCUGUGUGGAGGAUGACGCAUUUCGGUGUGUAAACUCCUUUUAUAUGUCAAGAAAAUGACGGUAGCAUAUGAAUAAGCACCGGCUAACUCCGUGCCAGCAGCCGCGGUAAUACGGAGGGUGCAAGCGUUACUCGGAAUCACUGGGCGUAAAGGACGCGUAGGCGGGUUGGAAAGUCAGGUGUGAAAUCCUACAGCUUAACUGUAGAGCUGCACUUGAAACUUCUAAUCUAGAGUAUGGGAGGGGGAGAUGGAAUUAGUGGUGUAGGGGUAAAAUCCGUAGAUAUCACUAGGAAUACCUAAAGCGAAGGCGAUCUCCUGGAACAUUACCGACGCUAAGGCGUGAAAGCGUGGGGAGCAAACAGGAUUAGAUACCCGGGUAGUC
rnacentral:rRNA from 1 species